GCCGGAGUAGCUCAGUUGGUAGAGCACCGGUUUUGUAAACCGGACGCCGUGGGUUCGAGUCCCACCUCCGGCU
rnacentral:tRNA from 1 species